GCGGAGGAAAAGAAACUAACAAGGAUUCCCCUAGUAACGGCGAGUGAAGCGGGAAGAGCUCAAAUUUGUAAUCUGGCCCUUUCAGGGUCCGAGUUGUAAUCUCGAGAAGUGUUUUCCGCGCCGGACCGCAUACAAGUCUGUUGGAAUACAGCGUCAUAGUGGUGAGAGCCCCGUAAUUGAUGUGGAUGCCCGGUGCUUUGUGAUACACUUUCGAAGAGUCGAGUUGUUUGGGAAUGCAGCUCAAAUUGGGUGGUAAAUUCCAUCUAAAGCUAAAUAUUGGCGAGAGACCGAUAGCGAACAAGUACCGUGAGGGAAAGAUGAAAAGCACUUUGGAAAGAGAGUUAACAGUACGUGAAAUUGUUGGAAGGGAAACGCUUGAAGUCAGACUUGCUAUUCGGAAUUCAGCCGCAAGGUGUACUUUUCGAUUUGCAGGCCAGCAUCAGUUUUUGGGGGUGGAAAAGGGUGGAGAGAAGGUAGCAACCUUGGUUGUGUUAUAGCUCUUUACUGGAUUCAUCUUUGGGGACUGAGGAUCGCAGUGCGCAAUUUACUUUGCAAACCUUUCGAGGUUUUCGUACUUAGGAUGCUGGUGGAAUGGCUUUAAACGACCCGUCU
rnacentral:rRNA from 1 species